GGAGUUAGCCGGUGCUUCUUCUGUGAGUGAUGUCCUUCCUGCCGGCUAUUAACCCGCAGGCCUUCUUCCUCACUGAAAGUGCUUUACAACCCGAAGGCCUUCUUCACACACGCGGCAUGGCUGGAUCAGGGUUGCCCCCAUUGUCCAAUAUUCCCCACUGCUGCCUCCCGUAGGAGUCUGGGCCGUGUCUCAGUCCCAGUGUGGCUGAUCAUCCUCUCAGACCAGCUACGGAUCGUCGCCUUGGUGAGCCGUUACCUCACCAACCAGCUAAUCCGACAUAGGCUCAUCCGAUAGCGCGAGGCCCGAAGGUCCCCCGCUUUCCCCCGUAGGGCGUAUGCGGUAUUAGCCUGGGUUUCCCCAGGUUAUCCCCCACUACCGGGCAGAUUCCUAUGCAUUACUCACCCGUCCGCCGCUCGCCACCAGGGAGCAAGCUCCCCGUGCUGCCGCUCGACUUGGCAUGUGUUAGGCCUGCCGCCAGCGUUCAAUCUGAGCCAGAAUCGAACCCUGA
rnacentral:rRNA from 1 species